rnacentral:rRNA from 1 species
UACGAAGGGGGCGAGCGUUGUUCGGAAUUACUGGGCGUAAAGCGUGCGUAGGCGGUUCGUUAAGUCAGCUGUGAAAGCCCCGGGCUCAACCUGGGAACUGCGGUUGAAACUGGCGAACUAGAAUCUGGCAGAGGGGGGUGGAAUUCCACGUGUAGCAGUGAAAUGCGUAGAGAUGUGGAGGAACACCGAUGGCGAAGGCAGCCCCCUGGGCUGAGAUUGACGCUCAGGCACGAAAGCGUGGGGAGCAAACAGG